AGUUAACAUAAGGUUAAGAUAAGAUUGUAUAACAUAGGAUUAGAUUAAUUGUAAAUAAAGCAGUCCUCCUCAGAGGGGGGUGGUGGAGGGAAUAUUUAAGAAAUAAAAAUAGGAUUAAUUCAGAAGGUUAAGAUAAGAUUGUAUAACAUAGGAUUAGAUUAAUUGUAAAUAAAGCAGUCCUCCUCAGAGGGGGGUGGUGGAGGGAAUAUUUAAGAAAUAAAAAUAGGAUUAAUUCAGAAGGUUAAGAUAAGAUUGUAUAACAUAGGAUUAGAUUAAUUGUAAAUAAAGCAGUCCUCCUUAGAGGGGGGGUGGUGGAGGGAAUAUUUAAGAAAUAAAAAUAGUAUCAGUUAACAUAAGGUUAAGAUAAGAUUGUAUAACAUAGGGCUACAGUGAAGAAAUCAAAAAUUUCAAGGCAGCAUGAAGGUAACGCACAAUCAGGGAU